AGAGUUUGAUCAUGGCUCAGAGCGAACGCUGGCGGCAGGCCUAACACAUGCAAGUCGAGCGGGCACCUUCGGGUGUCAGCGGCAGACGGGUGAGUAACACGUGGGAACGUGCCCUUUGGUUCGGGGACAACUCCGGGAAACUGGAGCUAAUACCGGAUAAGCCCUUCGGGGGGAAAGAUUUAUCGCCAAAGGAUCGGCCCGCGUCUGAUUAGCUAGUUGGUGAGGUAAUGGCUCACCAAGGCGACGAUCAGUAGCUGGUCUGAGAGGAUGAUCAGCCACACUGGGACUGAGACACGGCCCAGACUCCUACGGGAGGCAGCAGUGGGGAAUAUUGGACAAUGGGCGCAAGCCUGAUCCAGCCAUGCCGCGUGAGUGAUGAAGGCCCUAGGGUUGUAAAGCUCUUUUAGCGGGGAAGAUAAUGACGGUACCCGCAGAAUAAGCCCCGGCUAACUUCGUGCCAGCAGCCGCGGUAAUACGAAGGGGGCUAGCGUUGCUCGGAAUCACUGGGCGUAAAGGGCGCGUAGGCGGAUCUUUAAGUCGGGGGUGAAAGCCCAGGGCUCAACCCUGGAAUUGCCUUCGAUACUGAAGAUCUCGAGACCGGAAGAGGUAAGUGGAACUGCGAGUGUAGAGGUGAAAUUCGUAGAUAUUCGCAAGAACACCAGUGGCGAAGGCGGCUUACUGGUCCGGUUCUGACGCUGAGGCGCGAAAGCGUGGGGAGCAAACAGGAUUAGAUACCCUAGUAGUCC
rnacentral:rRNA from 1 species